AGUGCCUGAGGUGGCCCUCCCGCUGUACCAGAGCAGGAAGCCUCGUCCUCCAGUGCCCUCGUCCGCCGUCAUCCUCAGGGUCACUUGGUUGCCGGGGGCGACUACGGGUGCCGGCCGGAAGGUCCCGCAGAAGCGUCCGAGCCGCUGACCCGAGGUUCCAGACCCAGCGAAGAUCUCCAGAGCAUCAUAACGGCAGGCUGGGUGCAGUUCCAGGUCAAAGACUCGGAAGGAGAGGGACACAGUCUGGGCUUCGGGAACCUGAUGGCCACAUACAGUCUCUAAUUCCCUCCUGGAACCCAGGUCCAGUUACCAGGCAAGUUCAAGAAGGGCCCUUCAUUGAUAGGAAAUAUGCAGAAUUCUAGGCUAUGAGACAGUCAAGAGGAGAACUAUUUGAUCUGAGACCAAGAUGAGGUGGUGCAAAGAACCCUGUGUGAGAAGCCUCCUUCCCCGCUUCCCUGAAGCAGAUCCUGCAGAAUCUGCAGGAAACAAUUUUCAAACCACUGCUCUAGGCCACACCUGUGAGGAGCAGUAGAGCACGCUGGGUCUCCUGACCAACCAGCACAAUCUGUUUGAAGCUCAUGGAGUGGUGGAAGGUCAUCUUGAAGACCCGCUGCCCACUGGACUGCAGAUAGACCUCUACACAGUCACAGGCCCGGCUGCCGGUUGUGCCGACCACUCCGGGCUGCUCCCGAGUGGCCAAAACAUAGAGGUA